GACGAACGCUGGCGGCGUGCCUAAUACAUGCAAGUAGAACGCACAGUUUAUACCGUAGCUUGCUACACCAUAGACUGUGAGUUGCGAACGGGUGAGUAACGCGUAGGUAACCUGCCUGGUAGCGGGGGAUAACUAUUGGAAACGAUAGCUAAUACCGCAUAAUAUUAAUUAUUGCUUGAUAAUUAAUUGAAAGGUGCAAUUGCACCACUACCAGAUGGACCUGCGUUGUAUUAGCUAGUAGGUGAGGUAACGGCUCACCUAGGCGACGAUACAUAGCCGACCUGAGAGGGUGAUCGGCCACACUGGGACUGAGACACGGCCCAGACUCCUACGGGAGGCAGCAGUAGGGAAUCUUCGGCAAUGGACGAAAGUCUGACCGAGCAACGCCGCGUGAGUGAAGAAGGUUUUCGGAUCGUAAAGCUCUGUUGUAAGAGAAGAACGGGUGUGAGAGUGGAAAGUUCACACUGUGACGGUAUCUUACCAGAAAGGGACGGCUAACUACGUG
rnacentral:rRNA from 1 species